rnacentral:rRNA from 1 species
GUGGAGCCUGCGGCUUAAUUUGACUCAACACGGGAAAUCUCACCAGGCCCGGACACCAGAAGGAUUGACAGAUUAAGAGCUCUUUCUCGAUUUGGUGGGUGGUGGUGCAUGGCCGUUCUUAGUUGGUGGAGUGAUUUGUCUGGUUAAUUCCGGUAACGAACGAGACUCUGGCCUACUAAAUAGUCGACGCGGGUUUUGGUGCAUGGGCCCCGUUCGACAAUGUCUUCUUAGAGGGAUGAGCAGCGAGUAUAGCUGCAGGAGAUUGAGCAAUAACAGGUCUGUGAUGCCCUUAGAUGUCCUGGGCCGCACGCGCGCUACACUGAAUGGGUUAGCGGGUUUUCCUUCUCCGAGAGGAGCGGGAAAUCGCGUGAAAACCAUUCGUGAUAGGGAUUGGGGCUUGCAAUUGUUUCCCAUGAACGAGGAAUUCCCAGUAAGCGCAAGUCAUCAGCUUGCGUUGAUUAAGUCCCUGCCCUUUGUACACACCGCCCGUCGCUACUACCGAUUGAAUGAUUUAGUGAGGCCUUCGGACUGGCGGUCUUGGACUGGGCUCCGCAACCUCAGCAAUGGGGUGCGUCGGACCCGCCACUACGAGCCGGAAAGAUGUCCAAACUUGAUCAUUUAGAGGAAGUAAAAGUCGUAACAAGGUUUCC